rnacentral:rRNA from 1 species
AGCAGCCGCGGUAAUUCCAGCUCCAAUAGCGUAUAUUAAAGUUGUUGCAGUUAAAAAGCUCGUAGUUGAAUUUCGGGAUCAAUUUAUUGGUCGUGCUAUUGUACGUACUGGUAUUAUUGAUUCCUACCUUCUGACGAACCAUGAUGUCAUUAAUUUGGUGUCAUGGGGAAUCAGGACUGUUACUUUGAAAAAAUUAGAGUGUUUAAAGCAGGCUCACGCUUGAAUACAUUAGCAUGGAAUAACGAAAUAGGACGUUUGAUUCUAUUUUGUUGGUUUCUAGGAUCGACGUAAUGAUUAAUAGGGAUAGUUGGGGGCAUUAGUAUUCAAUUGUCAGAGGUGAAAUUCUUGGAUUUAUUGAAGACUAACUACUGCGAAAGCGUUUGCCAAGGAUGUUUUCAUUAAUCAAGAACGAAAGUUAGGGGAUCGAAGACGAUCAGAUACCGUCGUAGUCUUAACCAUAAACUAUGCCGACUAGGGAUCGGAUGAUGUUAAUUUUUAAUGACUCAUUCGGCGCCUUAAC